CCUUCAAGGAAUGGACAUUGUGUUUUGAGGCCAAGGAAAUGUACCUGGAGGAUCAGAAUAAAGACUGAAGUUGUGCAUGCGCAUCGUUGCUAGCUCACUUAAUCCCUCAAUGUUAUGGUGACUAGAAGAAUCCCAAUCAAACUUCAACUUCCAGGCUUACACGAACAAACAUGUUCUGUGGUGGAUUGGGCUCCACGGGGCAGUAUAGUUGGUUGAGAGUGAGCCACACGGCAUCUGGAUCAAGGGUUAUGAACGCCUCAAAAGCCGCCAUACAAGCCUGCAGCGAAACAAUAAGAGUAUUUCAGUUGGGUUGAGUAUUUUUAGGUAUUAUCUACAUUCAUGUGUCGUUCGACCAGUUAGAGAAAACGAAUAAGGACGGGCCAUUUUCCAUUUCUUUAGGGAUUUCUUAAAUCUCUGGAGAUUGGGAAGAAGAGUGAGAGUUUAUGAGAGAGAAUUCCAUAUUUUUGGUCCUUAUUAUAAGCAUAGUUAAUAGAGAGGAUGUUAGUACGGCAGUUGUGUGGUGCGAGUGAUAGUUGUCGAUGCUGCUGCUGCUACGAUUACACACCUUCUGUAAAACUAGAGGUUGUCUAUCACUCAGGUACAGAGUGCACGUAUUACACACGCGAUCUAGUUCGGUCUCGCCGACCUCCACUUGCGAACAGAGCCGGCGCAAGCCAUGCAGCGCUGCUAGUUGUAACUUUAAGGCCUUGGUGUGCAGGUACGCUGCGCCAGACACCUUUGCACUCACUGCAGCUUGACGCUCAAGAUACUGCAACAGCCAGGGAAGGACGUCUUUCUCCACUCGUCUGCGCAUAAAGUCUCCCGAGCAUUCCGCCAUGCCACACACCACUUCGAUUGCCUUGACAACUACGACCUGUGAGAAAAAAAAAAGUGUAGAGAUAACCACACGAGAGUGACUUGCUAAGGGCCGGCAUGUUGUUUUAUGUAUGUUACACGAAUUGCGUACCUCUUCCUGGUGUUUGAGGCGCCUGACCAACGGCGGCCACAGUUUGUGAAUCAAGGGUAGAAGGUGGUUCUCGUGAUGGCGGAUGACACGAACUGACUCGUCUAUGGUGUCCAGGACAAGAAGACAGACCACAAGAGACCUACUGCUUACGAUAUGCACGCACUUGUCCAACACCUGGGCACAGAAAGUGCAAAGGGAGAGGGCAAGUUGCCCUAUGUUAGGUAUAGGUAACGUUUACAGGUGCCCUUCACCUUCUACAGUAGGAUGGACUGAAUUUAUUUAGUUAUUCAAUUGAAUUGGGUUCACUUCUAAUAUGUACAACACAUUAACAAUUAUUUGUUUUGGUGGUACUAUUCGUCAUAUUUUGUCAAGUCAGGUCUUCAAGGAAGUGCACUUUGUACACAAAACAUUUGACUGUUAAAACUUGAAUCAAGUGCGCACACAUGUGCCUUGUAAACCUUCCCUUUUGUAAUUGUAAUGUUAUGUAAUGAUGUUGCAAUCUGACGUAAUGUGAUAUUGAGCUGACAUUAAAUGAGUUGAGUUGGCAUAA